UACGGAGGGUCCAAGCGUUAUCCGGAAUCAUUGGGUUUAAAGGGUCCGUAGGCGGGCGAUUAAGUCGGAGGUGAAAUCCCACAGCUUAACUGUGGAACUGCCUUUGAUACUGGUUGUCUUGAGUUAUAGUGAAGUAGAUAGAAUAUGUAGUGUAGCGGUGAAAUGCAUAGAUAUUACAUAGAAUACCGAUUGCGAAGGCAGUCUACUAACUGUAUACUGACGCUAAUGGACGAAAGCGUGGGGAGCGAACAGG
rnacentral:misc_RNA from 1 species